AGCCUUUUCCUCCAUUUUCACUGACCCAUUGGUGUCGAAAAGUUGCUUCUCUUCUUAUUCGUUCAAGCUCUGAUGUCUCUCCAUACCAAAGGUAUCAUAGACUUCAACUCUUAUCCAUCUAUGAAAACUCGCCUCAAUUAGGAGAUUGGAAAGGACUUCGUUCAACUUUAUCUUAGAUGAAUUUGAUGAGUACUUUCAACUCUUAUUUUUUGCCUUGUAUUUUGUGUGAGCCUGAUCUUUCGUCUUUUUCAUUUUAAUUGGCAGAUUUGCCUUUUAUGAGUUGUGAUAUCUAUCUUUUUUUUAUUUUACAAGCCAUCUUUAUCUGGGAACUUUCAUUCUUCCGAUGAGGUACGUCUUUUUUUUAAAUAAAUUGUACCAUCUUUAUACCUUUAAAAGUUUUUAAAGUUUUUAUGUUGUUUUAAUGUAUAUCCCAAAUUCCUGUGAUGCUGUUAUUGAUUGUGUAGUUCUUGAUAUUUGUAGUAUAAUCUGACAAUCGGUAUAUCUUUCUUCUUGUGAAUUGUACUGCUUUUGUGGCAUAUCAUGUUUAGAUUUGAAAUGAUAUGUUUCCUUCAUAGUUGCUC
rnacentral:lncRNA from 1 species